AUCACUUUGAUCUUCAUACAGAAAUGUAAUUGUCUCCUUGUCUCUUUGGGCUAAAACUGCUUCUCGCCUUCGAGCCAUCCUAUCUGGUCCAAUCUCUUUAACAUUUGUUGUUUUGGUAACAGCUGUUAAUCCAACAAUUCUUGAUGGGACACUUUUCUUGGAUGGAACAAUAUACACACGGUUUUUUUUCAACCAACACAUUGCGCCAAUCUCUAAGUUUACUAAUUGUUUUGGUGUUUCAGGAAACCAAACAUUUACCAUCAUCGACUUAGCAGCAAACAGCCCAAAAAUAGAAACAACGUGUAUUGCAAAAUUGUGUGAAUUCACUUCAAAAAGAGUUCAACAGGUAUGUCUCAC